rnacentral:rRNA from 1 species
UUGAACUGAAGAGUUUGAUCCUGGCUCAGAUUGAACGCUGGCGGCAUGCUUUACACAUGCAAGUCGAACGGCAGCGCGGGGCAACCUGGCGGCGAGUGGCGAACGGGUGAGUAAUAUAUCGGAACGUACCCAAGAGUGGGGGAUAACGUAGCGAAAGUUACGCUAAUACCGCAUACGAUCCAAGGAUGAAAGCAGGGGACCUUCGGGCCUUGUGCUCCUGGAGCGGCCGAUAUCUGAUUAGCUAGUUGGUAGGGUAAAGGCCUACCAAGGCAUCGAUCAGUAGCUGGUCUGAGAGGACGACCAGCCACACUGGAACUGAGACACGGUCCAGACUCCUAC